GUGUGAUGUGUCAUUUUUAGAUGCUUUUGGUUUGCCUCAUCCAUUAUGUCAGCAAAGAACAGGAGUGGGCAGGAAACAUGCGCUGUUGAAAACAUGGCCAACCAACUGGAGCA